GACGAACGCUGGCGGCGUGCCUAAUACAUGCAAGUAGAACGCUGAAGAGAGGAGCUUGCUCUUCUUGGAUGAGUUGCGAACGGGUGAGUAACGCGUAGGUAACCUGCCUUGUAGCGGGGGAUAACUAUUGGAAACGAUAGCUAAUACCGCAUAACAAUGGAUGACACAUGUCAUUUAUUUGAAAGGGGCAAUUGCUCCACUACAAGAUGGACCUGCGUUGUAUUAGCUAGUAGGUGAGGUAAUGGCUCACCUAGGCGACGAUACAUAGCCGACCUGAGAGGGUGAUCGGCCACACUGGGACUGAGACACGGCCCAGACUCCUACGGGAGGCAGCAGUAGGGAAUCUUCGGCAAUGGGGGCAACCCUGACCGAGCAACGCCGCGUGAGUGAAGAAGGUUUUCGGAUCGUAAAGCUCUGUUGUAAGUCAAGAACGGGUGUGAGAGUGGAAAGUUCACACUAUGACGGUAGCUUACCAGAAAGAGACGGCUAACUACGUG
rnacentral:rRNA from 1 species